UUACGGUGAAAAGGAUAAGACUCAUCAGCCUCGAUUUUCUUGUGUCUUGAAAUGCAGGGGAACGACAUUGUAAGCUUGGUUAGUUUGAUGUCCUACGGAGAAGCAAAAUUGGUUGUGCCCACCGCCAGAAGAUUCAUCUUUGUACUCUCUUCUCCAUUUAUGAGUGCAACGAGAGGCAGAGUUAGUCAUGGUGAUGAUCAUAUUGUAUUCUUGUGAUGCUUGCAGACUGGGAGUGUAUUUAUACUUCAUGCUUAUGAGUUAUGAUGAAUCAUUUCUAUGGCA